ACCACCUCUGGCCACGCUUUUUGGUGUUGUAUCUGAUCCUUUCUCUUCCCGCUUGACACGCUCACACGGAGGGGACUGGAGAGGAAUGUCCUACAUUCCAUAUCCUUCCGCAGCGUCGCGGUGCACGACUACGCAGACUAGCGGGGACGCGCGCGGGGAUGCGUUCGGCGAGUACGCGACGUACCGCCGUGUCAUUCGCACGGUGCUGUGCGGCGUCCUCUUCGCCACACCGCUCUGUGCCGCUGCCCCGAUGUCGCCGCUGCUCAAGCUGUCGCAGACGCAGGAGAACAAGAAGUCCAUCAUUCCUCGAAUGAUGAGCGACUUCUUCUAUGUAAACUUCCUCGCAAGCACCGCAGCGUACUGGGUACUGGUCGAGCCGUUUAUCCCGAACCCCAGAGCCAAGGAGGGCUUCGUGCCGUACCUCGGCCCGGUCACCGCCGAGAUCCCUGCCGUGAGCUGCCUUUUUGUCUCGCACCUGUUCUAUCCGGGUCUGUGGGCGAUCGUGAAUGAGCCGACGUGGAAGCUUCGCCGCCGCGAGUUUGUGCGACUAAACGCCAAGUGCUUCGUCGCGUUUGGCCCUGUUCAUGUACCAGCCGCCGUUGGUCUCGGCAUGGCCGUCGGGGUCGUCCUUUACCCGUUCAAGUACAUGAAGCUGCGUGCUCAGCGCCGCGAUGAGCGGCAGCACGCUUCCUAGCCCAGCGCAGAAUACGCAAUUUCCCUUCAUUUUCCCACAAGAUGCAAAACAGGAGAAUGUUGCGAUGAUGAGCCGUUGCGCACAGACCUCUAUGUGUGCCUGUCGGCGUGUGUGUGUGUGUGUGUCGACGUCGGCGGCAAGACUCUGUUGUGUUGCCCUUGCUCACAGGCAAGCGCGAGGAAACGGUUAUGGACUCGCGCAGCGCCUACGACAGAUACAAGGAGAGAGAGGUGGCUCAUCUUCCAAAAAAAAAAAGAACGAAAAGCGAAAAAAAAAUGAAGGCACUCGGGCGAAGCGGAACGAGCUCUUUCAGUCAGCGGUCGAACACGCAACGGAGAGACUGCCUGCCACUCCUUCGAAGCCUUGGGCAAGCACUUGCGGAUUCCUCUCCCGAUGAAUCGACCUUGCACACCGUCGCAGUUGCUCUGUUCUCUCGUUGCAUCGUCGUCUUCUCCCUUUCUUGCUUUGCUUGUUGCCCAUGCUCUCUUCAUGAAUUCCUCAG
rnacentral:misc_RNA from 1 species